UUGUUGGAGAACAACAAGUUGUGUAAAAAGUACUAAAACAUUGAACAGUUGGGCAUGUGCAUUCAAAAGUUCAGAGGAGGUCACAUUAAGUUCUCCUGUAAAGGUUAAAGUGCAUUUUAGGUUCAUCCUGAAAUUUCACCCACAAACCAAAUAUCCCAAACGUUUUUGUGAGUGGUGUAUUGUGACCGAUUUUUUCCCUGUAUUAAAAUGCAAAAAAAAU